CUUUCUCCUUUCCUUUGUGCGUCGAUGUCUUGGGUUCUUUGUUAACUACGAAAAUAAUAAUAAUUUAUAAUCAUCAAUACAACAUAAUUAAAUUUAAUCCAUGAGCCUAAACAUGCAAAUUUAACCAUUUUUAUACAUAUAAUUCCACUAUUUACUUAUAUGUUCAUUCAAAGCUAUUUACUUGAGUCAUUGUUACUAAAUAAUUUAUAUCUUGAGCUAGAAAACUCCAAAUUAAGAUCCACUAAUUUUACCUGAAACUAGACUCACAUAUCUUCUUACCAUAAAAUUUUUAGAAUUUUUGGUUUAGCCAAUAAGUAUAUUUUAUUCUUUAAAGUUUCCCCUAUUCUGCUGUCAAACAGUUCUGACCAUUCUUCACUAAAAAUUGAUUAUCUCCUUGUACAAGAUUCGAACGAUGUUCCCGUUUAAUUAUAUUGAAAAUAAGUUAAAUAAUAAUUUUAAACAUAUAAAUUCCAACCCAUAAUUAUUUUUAUACAAUUUUUAAUGAUUUUUAAAAGUUAGAACAGGGAAACCCGAAUUCAUUCUGACCUUGUCUCACAAAACUUAUAAUAUCUCAUGAUCUACAAUUCCGUUGCUUACAACCGUUUCUUCUAUAAGAAACUAGACUCAAUAAGCUUUAAUUCCAUAUUUUUUUCAUUCUCUAGUUCAAUUUAUUCAUUUUUUUGUGAAUUUUCAAAAUCAGAACACUACCACUGCCCAAAACUGUUUUGUGAAAAAUGUUAAUAACCAAAUUUACAACACCAAUUCACACUUUAUUUCUAUUCAAAUUUCAUUCAAACUCAAAUUUAGCUAUUAAAUUUUCAACAUAUUUUCCUAAUUUCAAAAUUCUCAAUUUAGUCCCUAAAACACAAAACUUAUAAUUUACUUUACAUUUCAAUCUCUAUUCUAACUUAAUUUCAUUCAAUUAAACCCCUAUUUCAUCAUUUUGCUCAACAUGAACUUUGUUUAAAAACCUAAAAACUUCUAAAAUACUAACUUAAUUCAAUCAAAACUUUGUUUUAAUACUUUUAGAACAUCAAAAUUAAGAGAAAAGGACUUGAUUGAACUUACCAAUUAAACUCCAAGCUUCAAAAACCCUAUUUCCCCUUUUCUUUCUUUUAUUUUCUUCUUUCCUUCCCCUGUUCGAAUGCUUUCUGUUCUCUUUUCUCUAUUCUUUUUGUUUCUUUUCUUUAUUCUAUUUCUUUUAUUUACUUUAGUUACUAAUAAUAUAUAAUAAUAAUUUAUUUUUAUUUUUUUUUUGCCAUCCACUUGUCAAAAUCAUACUUUAUUACCAAGUAAAAUCUUAGAUUUUUACUCCUUUUGCCGCCUUAUCUUCCCAAAUAGGCUUAAUUACCUAUUUGGCCCUUAUUAUUUCCUAUUAAUUUAUAAUUAGACUUUUACACCUUAUUCAAUUUAGUUCUUUUUACUAAUUACUCUAAAUUAAGCUAAAUUCACCUAAUUUAAACCUAAUUAAACACAUCCUAAACUCAUAAAUAUUUCUAAUAAUUAUUUUCAAACUCGAUUUACUAAGACGGAGGCCCGUUAAUGUACUUUUCUGAUGCCCGUGAAUUUUGGGUCAUUACAGAAUUGGCUCGGGCCUUUUUUCAUAAGCAGUUUUCCUCAAACGGUGUUGGUGAUCUAAAUCAUCUACUUUCCGGGAUCGAGCGAUAUUGUGUUGAGGAUUAUGCGAAGCUCGCGUCGAAUUAUACUGAAGAAGAGGAUUGGAUGGAGAUUAAAGAGAUGGGAUCUACGAAAGCAUAGAGGGAGGAUGGUUUUCCAGCCUUGUUCUUCCAAAAAUGUUGGCAUAUUGUUGGAAGGGAUUUAUGACCUUUUGUUUGAAGUUUCUAAUUGAAGGUAUGGAUUUUGAGUCUCUAAAUGUCACGAAUAUUGUUUUGAUUCCAAAAGUUCCACAUCCAUCGAAUCUCAAGAAUUUUAUGCCUAUUAGUUUAUGUAAUGUGCUUUAUAAAGUGAUAGCUAAAAUGAUAGUGAAUCGUUUUAAAGUAGUAAUUUCUAAUUGCAUUGAUGGAGCACAAAAUGCUUUUGUUUCGUGAAGAUUGAUUUUAGAUAAUGUUCUAAUUGACUAUGAACUUAUGCAUACUUUUCAGCAAAAGAGAGUAGGGAAAAAAAUGUUUUAUGGCAGUGAAACUUGAUAUGAGUAAGGCUUACGACAAGGUUGAAUAGAAGUUUAUUAAGGAGAUGAUGAUAGAUAUGGGCUUUUAUUUGGCUUGGGUUUCUUUAGUCAUGAAAUGUAUCUCAUCUGUCUCAUAUUUUGUCAUCAUAAAUAGGAAUGCUGGCAAGGUGUUUAGGCUAACUAGAGGACUUAAACAAGGGGACCUCCUAAGCCCGUUCUUGUUUCUGAUUUGUAGUAAAGGACUUUUGGCCCUUAUGAGGAUAGUGAUGUGAGAUGGCCUGAUUAGAGGUGCUAAAGCUAAUAGGAACGGCCCAAAAAUUUCUCAUCUACUUUUUGCGAAUGAUUGUAUCCUCUUUGGAGAAGCUAGUAAUGAAGGGGCUCAUACUUUGAAAACUAUCAUGAAAGAAUAUGAAAGUUUUUUGGGUCAAUGUGUUAAUUUUGAUAAAUCAACAGUAGUUUUCAGUAUAAAUACUUUUGAAGGCGAUAGAUAUCUUGCAUCAGGGAUUUUGGGGGUGCGUGUAUCAAAUAAUACAGAAAGAUACCUUGGUUUGCCUAAUUUGGUGGGAAGAAAUAAAAAGCAAUCUUUCCAAAUUCUUAAGGAUAAAUUUAAGAAGUGAAUUGAAAGUUGGAGCAUUAGGGUUUAUCUUAAGGGGGUAAAGAGGUAUUCAUUAAAGUCGCUCUUCAAUCCAUCCCUACUUAUUCAAUGACGUGUUUUCUAUUACCUAAGUCUUUAUGUGAUGAGUUAGAUAGCGUUAUGGCCAAAUUUUGGUGGCUGAAAGGUCAUGAAAGGAACGAUAUUCAUUAGUGCAAUUGGGAUUCCCUUUGUGAACUCAAGGAAAAUGGGGGAAUGGGUUUUUGAAAAUUUACAAAAUUUAAUAUCGCAUUGUUAGCCAAGCAAAGUUGGCACCUUAUUAAUUAUCCUAAUUCUCUUCUAGGCCGAGUUUUAAAAGUGAAAUACCUUUAAUUAACAGAUUUCUUAAAUGAAAAGUUAGGGAGUCUACCUUCAUAUACCUGGAAAAGCGAGUGAAUGGCAAGAGGACUAGUUCAAAAGGGGCUAGACUGGAGGGUGGGUUCGGGAGAAAGAAUCUCCAUCAGAGAAGAUGUUAUAAUCACUAAUGAUGGUGUUGAAUUUGUGUCUAAUUUAAUUGAUGCUAGCACUAGAAAAUCGAAAGAAGAGUUAAUUUUUAAUACCUUUCAUGUGGAUGUCGCAAAUACUAUUAUACAGAUUCUAUUGGUGAGGAUAAUCUCUGAAGAUCUACAAGUUUGAUGCGACGAAAUGACUGGUGAUUUUACUAAGAGAAACGCCUACAGACUAUUACAAAAUGAUUCCCUAAUUCCUACUGACAAUACAUUACAUCCUGAUUCUAGACAUUUCUACAAAAAGCUAUGAAAUUUACAAAAACCUUCGAAAAUUAAAACUAUGAUUUGGAGAUUUUCAUUAGAAUUUUAUUCCUACUUUAGUUAAUCUAAAUUACAAAAAAAUUGCAGUGAAUACUUUGUGCCCACGAUGCUGCAGUUCUAUAGAGGAUUCUAUCCUUGUGUUUCGUGACUACCCUAUAUUAAUGGAGACUUAGGUUAGUCUUAAUCUCUCAUGGAUGCUGAAUAAUUCGGAUAACAGUUUCUUGGAUUGGGUUACCUGAGUGUUUCAGAUUGCUACCACUGAGCAAUGUAGAAUCUUCUAUUGUGGGCUUUGGACACUCUAGACAAGCCGGAAUUGCCUUGUACAUGAAAGGAAAAUUGUGUCUGGUAAGGAGAUCUCGGAUUGGACCAUAAGUUAUGUUAAAGAACUUGAAAAGGAAAAGCUUACCCAGACGAGAGAUUUUGAUAUGUGGGAACCCCCUUAUGAACUAUUCUUUAAGAUUAACUUUGAUGGGGCCUAUGACCCUCAGCAUGCAAGAUCUAGGUCGGGGUGGUGGUGAGGAACCCACUGGGGGAAAUAUUAGUUUCCAUGGUCAUGGGUCAUAAAGCAAUCUCUUCUUCAUUUGCUGCUAAAACGCAGGCGUGUGUUCAGGCGUUGCAACUAGGUAUUCCCAUGAGGAUAGAGUGUGCGAUAAUCGAAGAGGG
rnacentral:lncRNA from 1 species